UACGUAGGGUGCGAGCGUUGUCCGGAAUUACUGGGCGUAAAGAGCUCGUAGGUGGUUUGUCGCGUUGUUCGUGAAAACUCACAGCUCAACUGUGGGCGUGCGGGCGAUACGGGCAGACUGGAGUACUGCAGGGGAGACUGGAAUUCCUGGUGUAGCGGUGGAAUGCGCAGAUAUCAGGAGGAACACCGAUGGCGAAGGCAGGUCUCUGGGCCGAUACUGACGCUGAGGAGCGAAAGCGUGGGGAGCAAACAGG
rnacentral:rRNA from 1 species